AGAGUUUGAUCCUGGCUCAGGAUGAACGCUAGCGGCAGGCCUAACACAUGCAAGUCGAGGGGUAACAGGGGAGCUUGCUCCCGCUGACGACCGGCGAAUGGGUGCGUAACGCGUAUGGAACCUGCCCACCGCAGGGGGAUAGCCCGUCGAAAGGCGGAUCAAUACCCCAUGGUCCCUAGGGCCCGCAUGGGCUUCAGGGUAAAGAUUUAUCGGCGGUGGAUGGCCAUGCGUGCCAUUAGCUAGUCGGUGGGGUAACGGCCCACCGAGGCGAUGAUGGCUAGGGGGUCUGAGAGGAUGGUCCCCCACACUGGUACUGAGACACGGACCAGACUCCUACGGGAGGCAGCAGUGAGGAAUAUUGGUCAAUGGGCGGAAGCCUGAACCAGCCAUGCCGCGUGCAGGAUUGACGGCCCUACGGGUUGUAAACUGCUUUUGCGCGGGAAGAAUAACCCCCUCGUGAGGGGGGAUGCCGGUACCGCGCGAAUAAGGAUCGGCUAACUCCGUGCCAGCAGCCGCGGUAAUACGGAGGAUCCGAGCGUUAUCCGGAUUUACUGGGUUUAAAGGGUGCUCAGGCGGGCCAUUAAGUCGGCGGUGAAAUUUUGCGGCUCAACCGUAAAAGUGCCUUCGAUACUGUUUGGCUAGGAUUUGGUUGUAGUGUGCGGAAUGUGUGGUGUAGCGGUGAAAUGCUUAGAUAUCACACAGAACACCGAUUGCGAAGGCAGCACACUAAGUCAUUAUUGACGCUGAGGCACGAAAGUGUGGGGAUCAAACAGGAUUAGAUACCCUGGUAGUCCACACUGUAAACGAUGAUAACUCGCUGUCGGCGAUACACAGUCGGUGGCCAAGCGAAAGCAUUAAGUUAUCCACCUGGGGAGUACGACCGCAAGGUUGAAACUCAAAGGAAUUGACGGGGGCCCGCACAAGCGGAGGAACAUGUGGUUUAAUUCGAUGAUACGCGAGGAACCUUACCCGGGCUCGAACGGUGCAUGAAUAUACGAGAGAUUGUAUAGUCCUUCGGGACAUGUAUCGAGGUGCUGCAUGGUUGUCGUCAGCUCGUGCCGUGAGGUGUCGGCUUAAGUGCCAUAACGAGCGCAACCCUUGUCAUUAGUUGCCAUCAGGUCAAGCUGGGGACUUUAAUGAGACUGCCACCGUAAGGUGUGAGGAAGGGGGGGAGGACGUCAAAUCAGCACGGCCCUUAUGUCCGGGGCGACACACGUGUUACAAUGGGAGGUACAGUGGGAAGCUACCUGGCGACAGGUUGCGGAUCCCCAAAUCCUUUCUCAGUUCGGAUCGGAGUCUGUAACUCGACUCCGUGAAGUUGGAUUCGCUAGUAAUCGCGCAUCAGCCAUGGCGCGGUGAAUACGUUCCCGGGCCUUGUACUCACCGCCCGUCA
rnacentral:rRNA from 1 species